rnacentral:rRNA from 1 species
UACGUAGGGCGCAAGCGUUAUCCGGAAUUAUUGGGCGUAAAGAGCUCGUAGGCGGUUUGUCGCGUCUGCCGUGAAAGUCCGGGGCUCAACUCCGGAUCUGCGGUGGGUACGGGCAGACUAGAGUGCGGUAGGGGAGAUUGGAAUUCCUGGUGUAGCGGUGGAAUGCGCAGAUAUCAGGAGGAACACCGAUGGCGAAGGCAGAUCUCUGGGCCGGUAACUGACGCUGAGGAGCGAAAGCAUGGGGAGCGAACAGG